UUUUCGGCUUUUGCCGAUCUAGUCUAUGAGUUGGUGUCGUUUACACACCUGUUUUUCGACGAAACGUUGACGAGUUCCACACACGAGUUGCCUACAAUCAGUUACUAACACGUUAAACUAUGAAUCCAUAACAACUUAACACAUCAAUCCCUUACCAUAUUUGGCCCUUAACACCUUAGGCACUAAAGUUCUUACCUUUGUCGAAAAAAUGGACUAGAUCUAAUUCUGGUCGUUCCAAAUAUCCAAGCCCUCGAUUAGUAGCCUUUAAUCCACACUAGAGCAAAACAAAUCAAAUAACACCACUAAACCCUUUUAGUUUAGUCGACAGACACCCUUUGCAUAUAGGGGUUUUCGGCUUUUCUUUAAAUCCCGAAAUAAAGAAUGAAAAUAAGAUUCUGAGUACUUACCACCAAUGAUGUACUUGUCAAGAGCGUUUCAAACACUUCCCCAAUCUCAGAUCCACAGUGAAUCCAAUCUUAGAAUGCGAGUAGAGAAUAGAACUAGAUAUUAAUUCCCGAAUCACUAAAAUAUGAGGCUUUUCGGCUUUUGGAUCUAUCCUAGAAUAUGGCUAUUGCGAUCUAAAAGAAAAAAAAAUAGGUGACGAUAAGUUCACCAUCGAAGAGACAAUCAGUAGAGGAAGAGGUGUAGGAUUAUAGGUUCGGUCUUUUUAAAGAUUAAAAGGAAAUGAGAUAUGGUUUCAACCAAAGGAAUAAUCGGCAACCAAUAUUUGAGAAGAAAAAAUUGUUUUAAAAAGAAUUUGGCUUCGAGGAAAGAAAAUAGAAAAGGAGAAAAUUGUUCAGCUUUUGGGAAAAAAUAGAAAAGAAUAUGAGCAAAAGAAAUAAGAUAAGAUUAGAAUAAAAUAAAAUAAAAUCCUUUUCCAACUUUAAUUCCUUCCUUAUCUGCUUAAUUCAUGGCCAAAUUCAAAGUUUGAAUUUAAUUCAAACUCUCCACUGCUGAGCAGCAGUCCACCGCUCAGCCGACUCCUCUUGUUGCUGGUAGCGUUUCAAUCCCGUACGACCCUUCCCACGCACGUACAGCAAAAAGAUGCACCCUCCUCCUGCACGUAACGCUACUCGAACCUGGGACCUCCAGGUUGCCCAGCACGUUGCUGGCCACUGGGUCGCGCAUUUGUUUUCAAUCAUAUACCCGCACAUCUUAUCUUAAAGGUUACCUGCUGAAGUCUCGUACAUUUUAAAAAUAUAACAUUAAACAUACCUUCGCCUGGACUCGAACCCAUACCCUUGUGAAACUCCUAGCACCCUAAUGCCACUGCGCCAUAAGCUCUUUUUGUGUUAAAUUAUACUUGCAACUCCGCUUAAUCCUUAUUCUAGCCGCCACCUGCAUAUUAAAAAAAUCCUAAAUUGCGCCCGCCGCGCCUUGAACCCAGGCACCUCCCUAGCGCCCUCCUAACGUUCUUAGCCACUGGGCCAGAUGCCUACUUCUGACAUGAAUUAGCCUGAACAAUUAAUAAGGCCUACCUGCGACAGCCCUUGGUUUUUCUAAAAAAAAACCCACAUUUGCGCACGCAAGGAAUCGAACCGCUGCUCCUUUCCUACUGCUUAACACGCCUAACCACUAGGCCAGACUAUUCCUUAUGUCCAAUUUUAGCCCAACUUAUUAAUAAACCUUAAUGCCCAGAUCCCCUAAAGAAGUAAAAAUAAUAAUUUUUGCUAGUCUUGGAUCGAAUUUUUCCCGCACUUUAAAUACUUCUAAAUUUAUUUAAAAACUAAAAUAAUAAUAGUAACCAUAAUAAUGAAAAUUUCAAAUAUGAUAAUAUAUAUAUUUUUUGCCAAAUAAUAAUAAUUAUAAUUUUCAUAAAUCAAUAAAAAUAAAUACAGUAAAUUUUUCUAAUAAUAAUAAUUUUAUCUCUUAAUACUAAUUAAAAUUUCAUAAAAAUUUAAAAUAUCCGUAAUAAUAAAUAUAGUAAAAAUUUUCUAGUAGUAAUUUAAUUCAAAAUUUUUUCUUAAACGAUAAUAUUUAAAACUUCUUAAUUAUUCAGGUUUUCUUCUAUCCAAAUCCCAGACUCAAAACCCAACUCUUCUAGGCUCAAUUAUUGGGGUGUUACACACCGGCCUUCCACGUGUCUGACACCUGCAAGACAAAACUAACACGCAAAAUACAAGAACAAAGAAGAAAAAAAAAAUAGUAGCAGACAACAAGCAAAAAACAAAAAUGAAUCUAUGUAAUUCGGUUAUAAAAGCCGAAACAUCCCUUUGUUUUUUUUCUUUUUCUUGGUUACGAAACAUCAGAAAAUAGAAAUAACAAAAAAGGAAAAUUUCAAGAAGGUGAUUUUCAUCUUUAUUUUUGUUUUAGAUUCUUGCUUUGUUCCUUUUAUUCUAUUUUUCUUCAUUUUUUGCAUAUAAAUAUUAAGUAAUAAUAAUAAAAGAGGGGAAAAAGGGACUCACCGGGGUUGAAAAGCCCAUCUUCGCGCACUGUCGACCACCGAGUACGGUGGUGGUACAGCGGGUGGUGAAGGAAUCUGAUUCGUCGGAGAAACAAGUUGGGGAGAGGGUGUUUUGUGUUUUUUUUUCUUUGGAAAACAAAAGAGAACGACAGAUAAAAAAAAUUUGGUUUUAUUUCACCCUUGAAAUGACGUCGUUUGGGGGGUGGGGUCUGCACACUUUCCCUAAAAGGAAAAUUUUUGCGUUUAGUCAUUCUCUCCCGCAACUCCACGCAAUCAGGCCCCCAUUUUCUGUCUUCUUUUUUUAAAAAAAUUUAACCCUCAGAUUUCGUUUGGUUUUCGAUCUGGUCCUUUGUACUGUAAGUGUAAACGCCAGCAGAGCAUCAAGGGGAUAUUUUUCAUCUAGCCCCCACUAGUUUCUGCGCAUUUCAUUUUAAUCCCUGAUUAGCUUUCCAGUAUUUAUAGUUUUAUACCCCGAAUUUUAACUUAUUUUUUAGCCACGUCCUAAAUCUAUUUAAUUCAUUUAUUAACCUUUAAAAAAAAAAAACGUUUUAUUUAUAUGCUAUUUCAAACUUUUUUUUUAUGUUAUUUAUUUUACAUCUAUUCUAACUUAUUUUAAUGUAUUAUUUGUUCAAAUUCUUAUUAUUUAUUCUAACUUACUUUAUGUAAAUAUGUUAUCUUAAUCUAUUUUAUAUGUAUUAUUUAUUUUAUAUUAUUUAUAUUAUAUAUAUAUGAAUACAUAUAGUUUAUUUCAAGUUUUUUAUAUAUAUUUAUAAUUCUUUUAAAAAUCGUUUUGUUAUAUAUUUAUUUCAAAUUAUUUUAUAAUUUUAAGUUAUUAUAUAUUAUGUAUUUCAAAUAACUCUCUUUAUAUUACCCUUGAACUGUUACUAUCAUAAAAUAUAAUUAUAUUGUCUAUUUUUAAUUCUUUUACGUAUUAUAUAUUUUAAACGCCUUAUUUAUUAUUUUUAAAUUAACUUAUAUAUUAUUUAUUUUAAAAUUAUUCGUAUAUUUCAUUUUUUAAUUUGCUUUGUGUAUUAUAGAUUUUAAAAUGCUUUAUACAUUAUUUAUUUUAAACUUGUUUUAUGUAUUAUUCAUUUUAAAUUGUUUUAUUAUUUACUUUAAUUUUUUUAUAUAUUAUCAAUUUCAAAUUUUUAUAUGUAUUAUCUAUUUUUUAUAUAUCAUUUAUUUUUAAGAUGUUUUGUAUAUUACUUAUUUUAAAUUUUUCACUACAUAAUAUUCAUUUUAAACUUAUUUUCAUUAUUUAUCUUAAAUUACCUUACAUAUCAUUUAUUUUAAACCCUUUUUUACAUAAGUCAUUUUGAAUUAUUAUAUAUAUAUGUUAAUCACUUUACAUUUGCUUUAUUUAUUUAUUUAUUUUAAACCCUUUUUAUAUAUUAUUUUUGAAUAGCUUAUUAUUUUAAGUUUAUAGAAUGUUUAUUCUUAAACUUUCUUUUGUAUGGAUUAUUUAUUUUCAGAUUUUCAUAUGUUUUUAUCUUAAACUCUUUACACAUUAUUUUUUUUUAUAAAUAUAUAUAUUUAUGUGAAGUUGUUUUUUUUAUAUACUACGUAUAUUAUUUGUUGUAAAUUUCUUUUUACAUAUCAUUUAUUUUAGACUUUUCAUUAAUGAUUUUAAAUUAUGCUUUAUCAUUCACUUUAAGUUGCUUUUACAAGUAUUUAUUUUAAACCCUUUACAUAUAUAUUUUAUAUUUAAGAUUAUCUUAUUAUUUGAUUUAAGUUGUUUUAUACUAUUACUUCAUUUCUAUGUUUACUAAGCUUAAUGUUAAAUAAUGUAUGUUGUGAAAUUAUUGCUAUUGCGUGUAUGUUAGUCUGCUUACUCGUGUUCAUAUUAUUGCCAUGCGCUUGUGGAAUAUUUUAUGCAUGAAUUAUUGUUCCAUGUCGCACCAUACUUCAUUUUAUAUCAUUGCCUCAAAUUAGACCCCAAUACAUUUAUCCAACAAAUCGCUUUAUUUUAACCUAAAUAAAUAAUACACAUCGUUUAAAUAUUGUAUUCGUUACUAUUCGAAAACGAAAUUUUCCAAAUAAGGCAAUGUUUUGCAUUUUAAAAUAUCGAGGAAUUGUGCCCUAACUUACGGGGUUUCGAUUUUCUCGUUGUUUCUAAAUAGUUAAACAUCCUUUUCGAGUUUUGAAACACAUGAAAUUCUUAUCUAAAUUAAAGGACGACCUUGCACUCCGGAAUUCAUGGUACUGUGUCCUAACUUACGAGAUGUGAUACUCCGAUAUCUCGAGAUAAGAAAAUCUUUAAACAAUCGAUUUGAGCUAAUUCAAGAAUUUUAAAAUCGAUAUUAAUAGAAAACAUCGUAUUUCAAAUCCAUUCCCGAUUUUCAAUUUUCGACAUUAAGACACUAACUAAUCAAUUCGAUACCAAUUUUGGGCGUGUUGGGGGUGCUAAUCCUUCCUCGCACGUAACCGACUCCCGAACUUAUUCUCUUGAAUUUCGUAGACCAAAAUACCGUUUUAGUAAACUAAAAUUGUUUUGUUAAAACAAAGGUGAUCCGAUCACACCAAACAAAGAUCGGUGGCGACUCCCGUUUUAAUUUCUAUUUUCAAACAUAGUCGAUUUCCCUUUUUUUCAAAAAAUGGUUUCGACAAGUAUCUUUUCAACGGACAUGCAUAUUUUUAAAACUUUGUAAUAUUUUUUAAAUGUAUUGAUUAAUAUAUAUAUAUUAGAUUUCACAUUAAAAUUGCACAUUUUUGCUAUAAAAUUAUAUUACUUUUUUUUUCAUUUCGUGAUUCUAAUUUUCAAACAAUGAUUUUUUUUUUAAAAUAUUAAAAUAAAUACACAAAGGCAGUCCAUGAAUCAAACAAGCAUGUUUGACAUUUUAAAUUAAAAAUAAAAUUAUAUUUUGUAUAAUUAUGCGAUAAGCAUGUUUGACUUUUAAAAUUAUAUGAAAUUUUAUAGUAAUGGUAAUUUGACUAUAUUUUGAUUAAUGACUGAUUGUAAAUUUUUAGGUUAGACAAAAUUUAAAUUUAUACGUUUUAAAUUAAGUGCUUCCAUAUAUUUUAGCUUCAUCUUCUCUAUAAAGACUAAGUUUGUGUAAUUACUUUUCUUUUAUUUAUAAUCUUCCACAUUGUUUUUUAUUUUAUUUUACAAUAUAGUUUACAUUAAAAAAAUUUGCCCAUUUACACAUCUUAUUUUAAGAUUUAUUUAAAUCCCCACAAUGCUUUAUAUAUUGCAUUAUGUAUUUUUACCUAAUAUAUUUAUUUUAUUAUCUAGAUUUGGAGAAUGUACAGAAACAUUUGUGGAAAAUGAAAAAAAGAAGACGAUGGGUGAUGAACAACAUUCAUCAUUACGUUGUUUCCCUUAUGUAUGCUUUUAAUUUAUUUUAUUUCACUUUUUAAAUAUGAUCUUAAUUAAGUUAUGUAUUUUUAAUUUUUUUAAAGGUAAAUUCAUUAAUUUAUUAAAUGAAUGAAAGCAUACAAUUCAUAAAAAAAUAAUAAUAAAAACUCGUCGUAAAUGGUGAGGACAAACACGACCAACAUAUAUAACAAAAAUUUUAGCCUUAGCAUCAAUAAAACAUUAUGACAUAUUGACAAUUGGCUUUGUCACAACUAAAGUACGACAUAUCUGGAGUGAUUUAAAGCACUUAAUAUGAUAAGGAAAUUAGCCUCGGAUAAUCUAAAGUGGUGAGCAAAAAUCGACAAAAGAAUUAAGCAUUUACUAAACUAGAGAGGAUGACAACAAAAUCAUCUCUAAAAUCACUUGUAAAAUUAAGAUUACAUGUAUAAGCAAGACUAAAAAAGGUGCUAUAAGAGCAUAUAAAAACUUCUAAAAAUGAAGACUUAUAAAUAAUAAAAAAUCAAACAAAAAAGACAUAUAAAACUUAAGACAACACAAGUUCAAAUCGACUCGUGAAAUUAUUUAUUAUUUUGAAAUACUCUUAAAACAAAAACAGAUUAAUAAGUUGACGAAGAGCCACCUACUUUCCAAGAAAAAUUACUGGUGGCAGGGGAAGUUUUAGCGAAUGACAAACAUCGUCAUCUGUCCAUCAAAACUUGUGAAAACAACAAAAAUAUCAAUAAAAUAGAUUUGUAAUUGAAAAGAGUGAAGAAAUGUGUAGUGAAUGAGAAGGAAAAAAAGAAGAAAGAGUUGAUAGGAGGGAAAAAAGAUAGACGAUCUACUCUUGAGCAAAACAAAAGAUAAAAAGUAAACCACUUAAGAAAGAAAUAGAAAAAGUUUCAAGAUUUUUUUGAAGGUUUAGUUUUGAAGAAUUCGAAUCUUCUGGAAAGAAAAGUUUGUUAGUUUUAUUGGAAGGAAGUAUCAAUUCUAUAUGUAAGGGAGCUCAACAAUUACAUAUUAUUAGGAUUAAUUGGUAAAUUGUAUAUUUCCAAACUUACAACACAAUAUCAUACUAAUCUUCUGUCAAGUUAUGAAAUCACCUAUCCACAUAUAUUCAAUAUUAAUCAUUUUGAUUUAGUUAAAUUUUAGAAUAUUUAAAGAAUACAUCAUAUAUUUUUAUACACCCAAGUAUGGAAAUUUUCCUAUGUGGCGUAACUAUUAUUGUGAUAAGUGGGUAAUUUCAUUGCUUCGCACGUCACCAUCUUUUAUAUUAAAUUAAUUUAAUUGAAAAAAAUAAGAAAAAUCCUUUGAACUUUUUUAUUUAAGGUAAAAAUCUAUUUUUUUAUAUAAUGUUUAAACAAAAUUUAUAAUCCCUUUUCAGUCCAUUCGAAUUUAAUAAAAAUUAAUUAACACAGAUGAUAAUUAUAAAGGAAAGACGAAAAGAGUUGGUGGUCAUUCUCAUUUCUUCAAACGAUAAAAAGAAAAAAGAGGAAGGUUUCUUGUAUGUUUCUUCUUCUUUGUGCUGUGAUGUUCACACUAAGGUAAGAUGAGUUUUCUCCUUUGAUUCUUAUUAAAUUCUUUGCUUAUAAUGGUAGAUGAGCAAAGCACCUUCAUAAAUAUAGAGAUUGUUAAAGUAUUGUUUAGUUUAUCAUGGUUGAAAGCUUAGAAAACUAUGAGAAGGAAAGCUUGAAUCAUGGAUAUUUUGUUAUCUUAAGCUUAAUUUACGGUGAGUAUGAGUUUAGAAAUUAAUGGGAUGAGUAGGUAAUUAACAAGCUAUUAUCAAAGAUAGCUUAAGUUGCCAUGGAUGGAUUUUUGAAAGCAUAAUGAGGUAGUAUGAGAUUGAUGAGAAUUUUAAGGAAUAAUUAUGAUUUUAGAUAAUUUAAGGUCUCUAGAGUAUAGUUAUAGAGUCAGAUUUAAAUUUGAAUGGAAUAUUUUGCGAGAUGAGUCAGAUUUAAAUUUGAAUGGAAUAUUUUGCGAGAUAUAUUAAAAUCGAACAUUAGGAUACAAUAAGGGUUAAGUUGAGAAAUUAUACAUGUUUUUUUUGUUUGUUAUGUUUGAAUGUGCUAAUAACUCGUUCUAAUAAUCGAAUUAUUGAAUGAGUUGAUGUGGUCGUUGAGAGCACAAAAAAUAUCCUAUCCCUAUAAAAUAAUGAAAAAGAAUAGUAUAAGGGAAGUAGGGUCAAAUCCUCAGGGACUGAAUUUGCACAAGUGCUUGUUCCUCGAAAUCCCGGACAGAAUCGUGCCCAACAAAAACUGCAUACCUGGAUAAAAUAAAAAAAAAUUAAAAGUUACGAAAAUUAAAAUUAAAAUAAUAGAGAUAAAUAGAGUUGAGAAAAAAGAGUUCUUAUGGACAGAUUCCAGCCUUUGGUUGUCUCGAUCCGCCUUGGGUUCAAUCAUCGGCUUUUAGGUGAUCAUUCUCAAACAGAAUAAGCCAGUUAUAGCGGAAGAGGACGCCUAUGACCACCAGCUCCAAGAUUUUAGACUUAUGAUUUAGAGAAACCUGACUCUAGCCAACAAUCACUUUUGUGAGACCAUCUUAUGCUAGAUCAUCACUUCUCAAUGGCGAAUGCCACCCCAUUUUGUCUCUUGGGCUCGCCAACCUCUGACGCAGUAAGCUAACGAACCUACUAUGCAACCUUCCCAAAACAUACAAAGCGACAGUUUCUUGCACAAGUUGAAAAGAUCACCUUUUAAGGGAUAUGGACGGAAGCGUCAGCCCCGUAAUGCGGAGAAACGAUGAAUACUCGUUGAGAAGGCUAAGCGCGGAUUCUAAGCCUCAUAAACCCUUUUGGGGAAUUUCUACAACCUUUGGCUAGAUAAGUUUAGUGGCUCAUGAUUUUUGGGGAAAAAGAAAUAAAUGUAAUGGAUGAAGGGAAAUAAGGCUAAGCUUUUUGGGAGAGGGAAUUUUUACAGAAAAGAUGAGUGAAAUUUGUGUCACUCCAUCCCCUAUUUAUAGUACUAGGAAACUUAGUCUACUCCUAAUUAAAUUCUAAAAGAUAAAUACAAAUAAAUAAAGAUAAUUAAAGAUAAAAGCUAAAAUUAAAUCUAAAUAAUAAUCCUUAAUAAUAAUCCUAAUAUAAUUGGAAUUUAAAUAGAGUCUUGUGCUAUAAAAUCUCUUCUUUGCACUUUUACCCCAAAUCUUCCACAAUUUGUAUUUUCGGCACCACCUCUUGCAUGCUGGCCCAUCUUAUCUUUAAAUUCACACUUUUAGCCCCUAAAUUUUCUUUUGCCUUCAAUUUAGUCCCUAUAAGAUAAAAAACCAUAAAUAGAUCAAAUUACUAGGAUCAUACUCAAAAUAAACAUAUAAUUAAUACAUAAAAAUAUGUCAUUCUAGAGUAUUAUCUCCCUACUUAGCCCAUGCUUGCCCUCAAGUAUGGUUCCUAACCACUGUGAAAAUUAGAACUUCUGCCAUGAUUGAAAUACCACUCCAAAGUUUUAUAAAAAGUAGACAUAAUGCAUAUGAAAAAGAAACAGAACUUUUAGCUUGCUUUAAGUAAAACUGAAAAAGUAUUCCAAUUAAUACAUACAAAAAAUAAAAUUGACUUGGAUUAUUUCAUGAAAAUUAGGUAAUUUACUAAACUUACCAAGACACCUUAUUUGUUUCCACCUUUAGUCCUCAAAUGCAAUUUUAUUAUUAAUACAUCACUUUUUUCCUUUCUUUCUUUCUUUUUAUCAUUAUCAUUAUUAUUAUUGCUUAAGAAUACAUUGAACCUUUUGACACGAAGAGAGAUGAUAGCCAAGCACCCCACCUGGUUACUCAGCCCAACAUACUCCUAAUUUAUUGUAUUUUUCUUAAGAACAUACUGAACCUUUUGACGUGAAGAGAGAUGAUAGCCAAGCACCCCAUCUCGUUUAGUCAACCUAACAUAUUCCUAAAAAGUUUAUUUAAUUUUUGUCAUUGAAGUUACCUAACAUGUCACACAACCUUUUGACGCGAAAUAGGAUGACAACCCAAGCACCCUACACCAGUUACUCAGUCAGUCACGUUUUAAGCUGUACUCAUUACCAUGAAAGCAUCACAAUUUAUUAUAAUGAAACAGAAUUUUAAUUUGGAGGAUGAGGGAAAACAAUCAAGUGUGAAAAAUAAGUUUCGGCAACUGCCUAACAGUAAUGAACAUAAAUUUAGCAUGCAAUUUUCAUUAAGUGUUCUCUUUACAUUUAGACUUAAUCGAUUUUACUAUAAGCAAGAUAGGGUUAACUCUAUCAAUUAUAAUUAUUCAGCUUAAAAGAAAUAAAAUAGUUGAAUGAAAUCAAACAAGCAAAAUCAUAACUAACUCAGUAGACAAGAAUCAUGCAUGUAGGCCAAACAGUGGGCAAGUCGUGGUCAAAUUCUUGGGCAUGAAAAGAGGCAGAAUAUUCUUAAAAAUAUAUAUAUGGGCAGCAAUGAGCACAAAGCAUCAGCAACAACAGUGUUUUAAAUGACAGAAAAAAUGAGGAAUGCCUCCCCCUACUUAAAACACAUUGUCCUCGAUGUGGAAGAAAAAGGAAAAAGAAAAAUAGGUGAAAAUAAAAGGGUUUAGAAAAACUCCCCAUGUAGUUAUUGCCGUUCAUUCAUAGCUACAAUGAGAGGAAGGUUUGGCGUCCCGUGGAGGAGAGGAGGGUGAUGAGGUGGGCGAGACGCACGGUGGAGAUGGAUAUGGAGACAACGUGGGAGAAACCUUACUAUGGUGUUUGAAAAAUCGGUGGUGGGGGGUGAGGAAGAAGGUGCUACGGUUGGUGGAGGUUUGGGUGAAAAAUAGGAUAAAUUUCUAGGGUUUGGGGUGUAUAGGUAGAGUGUUUAGCAGAAGGAUGGGGUUUUUUUAUGUAGGUUUUGGUUUGUAUAAAGUAGGGUUUGGCUGAAGGAUGGGGUUUUUUGAUGUAGGUUUUGGUUCGUAUAAAGUAGGGACGCGCUAUCCCUACUUGGAAUAGGGAUAGAAUAAAUGAUGUUUAUGAAAGUAUGUCAAUUUUUGAGUUUUUUCCUUGCCAGUUUACCUAGACAGAAGAAGAAAAAUUUAUUAAUAUCCAAAUAAAAUAAAGUAAUAAAUAAUAAAAUAAAAUAAAGUAAAAAAAUAAAAUAAAAAUAAAAAUAAGAAAGAAAAAAAUAAAAUAAAAAUAGGGUUGGCUCCCAACAAGCGCUUAUUUAACGUCACUAGCUUGAUGCCCCAACUAGUAUUGGGGUUGUUCUAACUGAAUUCUUUAAUUCAUAUGGGCUUGAAAAUUUUCCCUUUUUAUUACAUCCACUAUAUUUGGGUUGAAUCAUCCUUGUGCCUCUUUCUUUGGUUUCGUAUUUUCCUCCAAGAAAAUCUUAUGUGUGCCUGUUAGGGGGUUAAUCCCUUUUAAGUUGGGAAUGGUCUUAUCACUCUCCAAAAAUGCACGCUUGAGAUACUCGAGAAGUGGUUUUAAUUUCAGAUCUAUUGCCUGCACAAUAGAAGGUAGAAGUUUAGUAUCCUGAUGGUCGUUAAACUAACUAAAAAUUUGACUUAAGGCAAACGCACCUAUCGAACAGUGGUAUAGUUAUGGUGAGACCAGAAAUAUCGUAUCCACGAGGACUAAAAGUACUAGUAAUUAUUAUCUUUUUAUUAUCUAGCCUAAAAUUUAAGAGAAUGUUUUUAACCUAAACUAAUUAUCUAAUUAACUAAGAUUAUGACAGAGAUGAAAGUUGGAAAAUACUUUGGGAAAAACCGAUGGAGAAGACAAUACCCAAGGAAGAAUCCACCUAGACUUAACUUAUUACUUCUGAAUUAGACAAUUUAUUCACUUAACUUAAUCCGUAGAAAUCCCUAAUUUAUGUUAACAUCUCUCUCGAGACUAAGAACAACUGACUUUAGGUUGAUUAAUUGAAAUCUCUUUCUAAUUAAAACCCCUAUUGUCGCAUUAACUCGAUCUAUGAAUUCCCUUAUUAAAUUUGACUCUAAUCUGGAAGAUUUAUGUCGUUCUAUCUCUAGGAGUGCAUUCAACUCCGCUUAAUUAUGGAUGAUCUACUUUUAAACAGGGACUUUUGCUCCAUUGAUUAAGCACAUCAAAACCUGAAUUAAUACCCUGGAAUAUUAAAACAAGAAUUUAGAACUCACAAUUAAGAAUAAGAAUAAGUCUUUAUCAUAUAAUUCAAAUAGUAAUAAGAUUCGUCAUAGGGUUCAUCUCCCUUAGGUAGUUAUAGAGUUUAGUUUAUAAUAAUGAAAAACAUCUCAAAGUUUGGAAAACAACAAAAGAUAAAGAAACUCAAAGAACUUUUAGGAAAUUGGAUGGAAAUCUUCAGUCUUGAUGUAGAUCCUGGCUCCGAGGUGAUUCUGAUGGCUUUUCUUGAGUACUUUCUGCCUCCAACUCUCUGUGUCCCCUCUAAUUCUCUUUUAGGGUGUUUAUAUAGGCUUUAGAAUGCUUCAAAACCCUCAAAAGUGCCAUUUUUCGAAUAGAACUAGGUUGGGUUCGGCAGAGACACGACCGUGCCCCAUGCUCGUGUGAAGGUGCUCAGGCCGUGUGCAAUACUAGUUGGUUCCUAGUCGACAUGGCCAUGACACACGGGCGUGUGGUCUACCCGUGUGUCAUACACGAGCGUGUGAAUCACCCGUGUGGGAGUGCCUAGGCCGUGUGAGACACUGAUUUAAGCCAAAUUUAUCCGUUUUUGGCCCGUUUCUCGCUCCUUUUGCUAUCUUAAACUCUCCUGAGUAUAAAACAUUAAAUUAAAGGAUUAGGAGCAUUGAAUUCACUAAAACCAAGGAGAAAUCAUUCAUAAAUAUGCCAAACAUGGGGUAAAAAUAUGUAUAAAUUACUGUUUAUCAUAUCCAUAGGAGCCAAUAAUUCAUUAAUAGAUUUAAAAUCAUCAAACAUCAUUUUAGAUUUAUCUCCAUAAGAUGACUCAAAAGUUUUUUCUACUAAUGAGUCAAUUAUGUCGAUACUGUUUACGUCCAAGAUUUCACUUGGGUGACUAAUAGCGUCAUAAACGUUAAACUUCACGAUCUCUCUGUCAAAUUCUAUCGUGAGAGUUCUACUAUGCACGACAAUAUUAGUAUUUGCAGUACUAAGGAAAGGUCACCCCAACAAGAUAUCUGAAGAACUAGGAGCUUUAUCCUUUUCCAUUUUUAUCACACAAAAUUCCGCAGGAAAGAUAAGUCCGUCGACUUUCACUAAUACAUCUCAAGGACUCCUUCGGGAUGCACAAUAGACCUGUUUACUAACUGAAUGAUAACACCUGUUUUCGUCAAAAAGCUAGCAUUAAGUGAUUCAUAAACAGAAAAAUGCAUUACAUUUAUGGAGGCCCCUAAAUCACACAUAGCUUUUUUAAUUCCUAAGUGGCCUAUUUUGCAUGGUAUUGCGAACUUGCCUUUAUUUUUGCAUUUCGCUGGCAUCUUCCAUUGUAACACUGCGGAUACAUUCUCACCUACGCUUACCUUUUCAUUAUCAGUUAAUUUUCGCUUGUUGGUGUAGAGUUCUUUGAGAAAUUUGGCAUAACGCAGAAUUUGUUUGAUGACAUCCAACAGUGGUAUGUUGAUCUCGACAUUUUUGAAUGUUUCGAGGAUCUCCUUGUCUUAUUUACCCUUUCGAUAUUGAUUCAAUCGCCCUGGAAAUGGAGGUUGAAUUUUAAGCAAUGGAGGUUUCACUCGGACCUGUUCAUCAUUUUCGAGCUUUUUCUGGGCGAUUUCUUGGCCAAGAUUUCUGCCAUGAAUUGGUUCUAGUACCUUUCCACUUUGCAGCGUCACUGCAUUCACGUUUUAUCUUGGGUUUGAUUUUGUUUGUGAUUGCAGCUUCUCUUGAGAACUCAUUUUCUCAAUUGAUGUGGUCAAUUCUCUUAUAGAUGCCUUAGAUUUCUGUUGAAAUCAAGCAUAUUAGAUGCUAAUUUAUUGACCAAAGUUUCUAGAGAAUUACCUGAAUCUUGUGGCUGUUGUGGGACCCGAUUUUGGUAUGACUAGUUAUACUAUGGAUUGGCCUCGUAACUUAAGUUAGGAUGGUCCCUCCAUCUUGGGUUGUAGGUAUUAGCGUAGGGGUCAUAUCGCCUCUGUGGUGGCCUAAGGAAAUUUCCCACAGCAUCCAAAUGAGCCAUAGUAUCAUUAUUCAGACUAAGGCAUGCAUUAGUUGUAUGUUCAGCUGUAGCACAUAUUCCGCAUAAUUGGGCUGGUUUUGUUUUUUCUGCAACAAGAGAAUUCACAAUAUUAGUAAGUUUAUCAACUUUAUCUUCUAAGGUUAAAUUACUUAGCUGGUGAACCCUUCUAGGGGGUUCAGGAUUGGCUUGGAAUUGCUCAGUAUAUGCAGCCAUCAUGGAUAUCAAGUCCCUUGCUUGUUGGGGAGUCAUAUUGACCAAUGCUCCUCCACUGGUGGCGUCCACCAUGUUCAUCUCUAUGGGUUUCAAGCCUUCAAAAAAAUAUUGGAGAAGAGAUUUUUCUAUUAUACCGUGUUGUGGGCAGCUUGCAGACAACUUCUUAAAUAGUUCCCAAUAUUUAUAAAGAGACUUUGCUUCUUUUUGCCUUAUUCCAACGAUCUCUCUUCUUAACUCAGCUGCACGUGAUGCUGGAAAAAAACCUGUUGAGAAACAAACGAGAAAGAUCAGCCCAAGUUGUAAUAGAUCCAGGAGGUAAAUAAAAUAGCCAUUUCCUAGCUGAAUUAGCUAGGGAAAAGUGGAAAGCACGUAAUUUGAUUUGAUCCACCGUUACCCCUUGAAGUUUUAUACUAAGACAAACCAUAUGAAACUUUUUCAGAUGUUUGUGGGGAUUUUCAUUUUGCAACCCACGAAAAGUUGGUAGUAGCUGGAUUAAACCUGACUUUAGCUCAAAAUCAAUAUCCAUAGUAGGAUAAGCGAUGCACAAUGGCGGUUAUUCUGCCGGAGCUUCGGCCAGUUGCCAAAUUGUUUGAGCCAUUGGUUGAUGUGCUAGAUUCGGGUUUCCGUUAACCCUAGUGUUAAGCAUUUCUUCUGAUGAAUUGACUUCAACUUUUUCGCUUUCAAGUGUUUGAGUAGGGUUUUCGUUAACCCUAGACUCAACUUCGUAGUUGACUUUGAUUUCUGGUGGUGGGUUACUCUGAGUCCCACUCUCAUCAUCUUGUUUUUUUAUAUCCCUUCCCAGUGUCGAAUCACAAGAAGUUGGAGCAGAUCUUUGAUCUUUUAUUAGUAUUCCCCUUCCUUAGACUGGGACGCAUACAUCGAGAAUCCAGUGUGCAAUUCAUUUUGAUAAGAUAGAUAGAUUGUCCCCAAUUAGUCAUAUAAGUUACACUAAAUCGGAGCUAGAAUAAAGGGUAGGUUGAAUCUUAAAAGUAACUACUUUUUCUGUAACUUUGUCUCAUUGUGAUUAGAUCUUGCAGUCUUCUCUAUUUCUGAAUCAAACACAAGAAUACCUAAAGUAGACCUGGUCAUAAGAAACAAAAAAACAAGAUUAGUACGUUACCAAUCCCCGACAACGACGCCAAAAUUUGAUGUGGUUGUUGAGAGCACCAAAAAUAUCCUUGAAAAAGAAUAGUAUAAGGGAAGUAGGGUCAAAUCCUCAGGGACUAGAUUUGCACAAGUGCUUGUUCCUCGAAAUCCCGGACAGAAUCGUGCCCAAGAAAACAUGCGUACCUGGAUAAAAUAAAAAAAAUUAAAAGUUACGAAAAUUAAAAUUAAAAUAGUAGAGAUAAAUAGAGUUGAGGAAAAAUAGUUCUUAUGGACAAAUUCCAGCCUCCGGUUGUCUUGAUCCGCCUUGGGUUCAAUCCUCAAAUUUUAGGUGAUCCUUCUCAAACAGAAUAAGCCAGUUAUAGUGGAAGAGGACGCCUACGACCACUAGCUCCAAGAUUUUAGACUUAUGAUUUAGAAGAACCUAACUUUAGCCAACAAUCGCUUUUGUAAGACCAUCUUAUGCUAGAUCAUCACUUCUCAAUGGUGAAUGCCACGCCAUUUUGUUCUUGGGCUCGCCAACCUCUGACGCAGUAAGCUAACAAAUUGACUCUGCAACCUUCCCAAAACAUACAAAGUGACAGUUUCUUGCACAAGUUGAAAAGAUCACCUUUUAAGGGACAUGGACGGAAGCGUCAGCCUCGUAAUGCGGAGAAACGAUGAAUACUUGUUGAGAAGGCUAAGCGCGGAUUCUAAGCCUCAUAAACCCUUUUGGGGAAUUUCUACAACCUUUGGCUAGAUAAGUUUAGUGGCUCAUGAUUUUUGGGGAAAAAGAAAUAAAUGUAAUGGAUGAAGGGAAAUAAGGCUAAGCUUUUUGGGAGAGGGAAUUUUUACAGAAAAGAUGAGUGAAAUUUGUGUCACUCCAUCCCCUAUUUAUAGUAUUAGGAAACCUAGUCUAUUCCUAAAUAAAUUCUAAAAGAUAAAUACAAAUAAAUAAAGAUAAUUAAAGAUAAAAGCUAAAAUUAAAUCUAAAUAACAAUCUUUAAUAAUAAUCCUAAUAUAAUUGGAAUUUAAAUAGAGUCUUGUGCUAUAAAAUAUCUUCUUUGCACUUUUGCCCCAAAUCUUCCACAAUUUGUAUUUUCGGCACCACCUCUUGCAUGUUGGCUCAUUUUAUCUUUAAAUUUACGCUUUUAGCCCUUAAAUUUCUUUUGCCUUCAAUUUAGUCCCUAUAAGAUAAAAAGCCAUAAAUAGCUUAAAUUAGUAGGAUCAUACUCAAAAGAAACAUAUAAUUAAUACAUAAAAAUAUGUCAUUUUAAAGUAUUAUCAUGAGUUUAAAGAACGAGUAAAAAACGUCGAAGUUACAAUGAAAGAUGAGAACAACGACGCGUAAUGGAUUCAGUUUGUGCUACCUUAAAUUGUUUCAUUACAUAAUUUCAUUGAGCAAUUGUAUCAAUAGAAUGAUUAAUAUUCAAAGGUAAUUACUUUGUUAUGCCAUAUGGAAUUAGAAAAUAAAAUGAUAUGAAAGGUAUGAUAUGCUUUGUGACUUUGAUGACAUUGUAGUGAUUUUUUAUAUGUGCCUGUGAUCUCGAUACUAUGAUGAGAACUAAGAUCUAAUAAGCUUUUGAAAUGUGAAUCCAUGAUAAAGAGUUGACAUGAAGGUAAGUAUGUGUGAGAUGUGUAAUUAUGUUUAAUGAUAUGAAUCAUGAAUGCUAAGAUGUUGAGUAUGAGUAAACGAUGUUAAUUAUGUUAUGUUGAUGAAUUGAUAAAGGAAGCUUUAGCGUUGGGCGCAUUCUAUUCACUGUCACAUUCUUUGUUGGAUCUAGGAGAGUUCUCUAAUUCCCUGUUGGGUCAAGAACGUAUCAUUAGCUCUAUUUUCAUGUUGGAUCACGAGUGUAUAUCAAUGUAUUAAUUUGUGUAUCCAUCUUGAAUAUGAAACCGAUUCACUAAAGAAUGAAAGUGGAUAUGUGACUAAAAUAUUAAGUGUCAGUAUAUAAAUGACAUGGUUAAACUACGAUAUGAAACUUGGUUAUUCGAUAAUGAAAAUGAGAUGCAAAUUACCAGAGGGUGUAUGAGUACUUUAUGAUUUGUAUAUUGAAAUGGUACAUUGAAAUUGGGAUAUUAUAUGUAUUUAUGAAAUCUUGCGAAUAAUAUAAGUCGUAAUACCUUAAGGGUGGCAUGAUACAAUGAUCUGCUAAUAUAUAUUUUAUAGAUAUUGUGGAGUUUUAUUGAUAUCAUGUUUUAAUGUUAAAUUUGCUUGUUUGUUAGUUGAUAUUAUUAUGUAUUGAAAACAAAUUAUAUUAGCACCAUUGAACUUGUAAUGCCCAGCGUUCCGAUUUAUUUAUUUCCGUGCGUAGGUACCAAACAGGUAUUUGUUAGAUUGUUGGACUUUUGCAGCAUCCAAAAUUCUGCAACUCAGCUCAAGCAAUGUUUGUACCGCUUUGACUAUAAGUUGUUAAUGGCAUGUACAUAUGAUGAAUUAUAGGUUAAAAUGUGUCAUUUUGGGUCAUUUGGAAUAGAUGAUAUGUUAUGGACCUAUAAGUGUCCUAAUAUUAAAGUUUCAGGUUGAAUAUAUAUAUAUGUGGUUGUGCGUGUGUCGUUUAUAAGUUUCACUUAGUCAGGUAUGACACAUCAGAUGAUAUAAGUUUACGUGUUUUUGGUGUACGUUAAAGGUUGAAUAGAUGCAUUUGAGAAUGAUAUUUUGUUCGAAUAAGUUAAAGUAAGUUUUGGUUACCAUUUGAAUGUCAUAAAGUCUACAUUAUAAGUGAAUUUGUAUUAGUGUUUAGAGACAUCAGGAUUACAUCUCGAGACAUCAAUAAUGAAAACGAUCACUUCGGACAUUUUUGAGUAAUGGUCUUAAGACACACCGAACAUAUCUUGAGAUGUAAAUUGCCUGGUCUCAAGUCAUGAGAUUUAUUUUCUUGAUACAGGAAAUAUUUAAGAUAAUGGUCUAAAACAAGUGAGCUAAGUCUCAAGACCUGUCUCAAGAUACAAGGCCAAUGUCUCGAUACAUAAAACUUAAUGUCUAGAGACAAUCAUCUUCAGAACUAGAGGUUGAAAGGGAAAGCGUGUCUUGAGAUAAGACUUCACAGUCUUUCAAAACUAAAGGUUGAAAGGAAAAGUAUUUCUUGAAUUUUGAUAAUUUAAAUUUGGAUUCGAAUCUUAACUUUACGUUUGUUUGGCUAGGACUCCGAGUUACCAAGUAUGGGCCCAAUUAAUCAUGAUUAAAUAUGUAAGAUUUAGCAUAGCUUGGGAAAAUAUAAAAUAUCAAUUUAAAAUUUAUAAAAUAAAUUGAGAUAAUUUGAAUUACUGUAACAAAUAUAUAUGAGGUAUUGCUUAACGAAAAAAAUAACAAAUGCAAAUGGAUUACAAUAACUUUCUCCCUUAUUAACUGACAAUUAUUCAAUUUCAACAUUGAAUAUGUAAGAAUCCAUUCCUAAAAACAAGAAUUUUAGGUCAAUUUUUGUGGUUCCUCCGUAAUUCAAGAUCGUAAUUGAUUAAUUUCAUUACAAUAAUUAUAAGUCACGUGCUUUGUGGUUCUUGUGUAAUUCAAAAACAUAAAUGAUUAAUUUCACUACAAUAAUUUUUACUUUUAGGCCACCUUCUCCUUGACUUGUUAAUCCAAUGGACAAUCUAAACCAAUAACUGCUCUUUUGUGAUAAAAAAUAAAAAGUUGUCACAUUUGUAUUUUUUUUUUGUUUUAAGUGUAGAUUUAAUAUUUAAUUUGGUAUUUUUUUAUCUUAAUUAAAUACUUAUAUUUUUUUUAUUAAACACAUGUGUUAAAUAUUCAUUGGGUCAUAUGGCGCCAUUUGAUUUAGAUACCAAAUUAAGCAGUAAAGCUAAACUUAAGUACUAAAUUAGGACAAAAAAUAGAUACCACAUUAAACAUUUAGGUCAAACUUAGGUACCAAAUAGUGUAUUAACCCUUAAAUAAACAAUUCAAAAAAAAAAGAGAAAAUUAUCUUAAUUAAAAAUCUAAAAAUUUGGAAUAUAUAUAGUUAAAAAAUAUUAAAAAAUUAUAAAAUGUUUUUAUUAUAUAAUGGGUGUGCAUUAGGUUAAGAAAAAAAAAUCUACUUAUUUUUAUUAUAAAUUUGAUGCCCAUUAGAAUAAAAAGUUUGAUAUACUUUAGGACUUUAAUAUAUAAUAAAAAUAGAAUUUUAUAUCAUUUAUACUUUUUAUAUUUAUAAAUAUAAAUUUUGAAGAAGCAUUGAAAAUAUCGUGAUGAAUAAAUAAUACAUACUUCCCUCUUUAUUCUUUUGUAUAUUGAUCCUUUUAUUUUUUCAUGCUAUUUAUUUUAGGGCAAUCUAUAAAAAUAGUCACUUUUGUUUGCCUCAGAUUACAUUUUAGACACUUAUAUUUGAAAUGUUACGUUUUAGUCACUUAUGUUACUAUUUUGUUAUUGAAGUGAUCACUCUACCGUUAAGUUCCGUUAUCUCUCUAACAGUAAUCCUACGUGGCAGUCCAACUAGAUUUUAGAUGUCAACUUGGAUUUCUAAAUGGGAUGAAAAUAGAUUUUUAAUUAAAAAAUUUAAUUAAUUAAAAAUUUUAAACCUAAACCUUAACUAAAAAAACUGUUCAUCUCCUCUUUUUAAUUUUUCUUCAGUCUCUUCUUUUUUUCAAUGGUUUUUUUUUUCAUUUGACUGGAAAAACUAUUAUUAAGAUCAAAAUAAUUGAAAUUAAAUUGACUGCUUCAUAAAGAUGGAGGUAUGUCUUCUUUGCAUUCCUCUAUCUCUUUUAUUCAAUACUGAAAAAUAAAAGAUUGAAUUUUUUAUUAUUUAAUGAAAACCCUAAAUUAAAAUUCUUGAUAUGAAUAUUAACAACUAAAAGAAUUUUAGAUCAGAAAAAAUGGAUACCCACAAAGAGAUGAGAACAAACAAGCCGAUUCAGAUCAGAAAAAAUCGGAUUGAGAAACUAAUUAUUCAAGAACGUGAAGAAUUGGAAAAUACAAUGACUAGGAACAAAAACGAUUACCAUCUUCUUAUUUUUCGACAACCACUGCAUUUUAAGUUUUAGAACAUAAAUUUGUUGGUGAAGAAGACAUACCUGGACUCUCCAUUGAAUCCUCUUUUGUUUUUGUAUGUGAAUACAAAAUUUUGAUGAUAAUAGCUUUUUUAGUCAAUUGAAAAAGAAAACUAAAAAAAGGGAGAGAUGAACGAUUUUUUAACUAAGAUUUAGGGUUUAAAAUUUUUAAUUAAUUAAAUUUAUUUAAUAAAAAAUCUAUUCUCAUCCCAUUAGGAAAUCCAAGUUGGCAUUUAAAAUCGAGUUAGACUGCCACGUAGGAUUACCGUUAGGGAGAUAAUGGAACUUAACGGAAGAGUGAUCACUUCGUAACAAAAUAAUAACAUAAGUGACUAAAACGUAACAUUUCAAACAUAAGUGACUAAAAUGUAACUUGAAACAAACAAAAGUGACUAUUUUUGUAAUUUAUCUUUUAUUUUAUUCAAUGUUAUUACCACAAUUCCCUUUUUAUUUUUUCUUUAAAUUCUCUCGAAAAUAUUUCUUCAAAAAGAUUAGUGAGACUGCAAAGAAAGAAAAUUUAUGGAUAAAAUCUCACAAGAAAAAGAUUUGAAAAAAAAAAAAAGAAACAUUAAAAAAAGACGAUAGACUUUAAGAUCAAAUGCCAAAGUAAAGAGCUUACUUCUUCAACCACUCGUCCCUUUUAAGAACUAUGAUAUUAUUUGAAGAAAAUCUAAACUAAUCACUAUUGAAAAGAAGAAAAACAAGAUUCAAGAAGACUAGCCCAUCACGAUUGAAGUAAAAAAUAAAAGGAAAUAUAUUCAAUGAGGCGUGGGAAUCCAUUUUUCAUCCUUCAAUUUGUCAAGAGUUAUUUUUUGGAAAGUUGAUUAGUGUUAUUAAUUGAAUUUGUUGAGAAUUUAUAUCUCAAAAGGUUCAGUUGAACAACUAUCUUCUAACCAUAUCAAUUAAUUUAUUUGAUCCAUCUUCUACUUUUAAUUUUUCGUUCCAAAUAUUUAUUCUUUGUUUUAAAAGUUUUUUUUAGUUGUUUUCUUCUUUGUUAUCUUAAAUCUAUUUGGUCUGCUGCCCCUUAUCACUCUUAUUUUUUUGAAUUUGUAAUAAUUUGUUUCUAUGCAUCAUAACAAGAAAUGGUCAUAUUUUAUUUUAUUUUCCUUUCACUUUUCUAUUCUACUAAAACCCCUUUAAAUUUUAUUUUACUUUUACUUAUUUCACUCUCUUUUUAUCUUUUUACUUUUUUCACUCAACCAAAUACCACAUUACUGCUACUUGUUUUCCUGCUUCAAGUACAUACAAAUUAAUACUAAAAUAGUACCUUAAUGGCUCUAGCUAAUCAGAAGUUGAAGCCGGUCAUAUGAAGGCAGCGUCCACAAAAUCCCAAAUAAAUCCGAAGUUGUUUUGAGCUAGUAGACUUGUUUUUAACUUGGGAGGCUCUAAACCGGUUCCUAUGGUUAAUGGUUUGGGCAACAAGCAAGAAGCGUUGGAUUUGAAACAAUGACCAAGGAAUGUGAGUAACCGAUUACCAAAAGAUGGAGAAAAAACAGCAACGAGAAAAAAAAAAUCCUAGUGAAGAAUCAUCUAAGAAAGAGAUCUCCUUGUUCGAGUAGGAGAUGGUUUGAUGGUUUGAAUGUUCCAAGGGUAUGUAACGGACUUAAAUGAUGCUUUCUUGAAACCUAAGAAACGAGAAAACAACAAAGAAACUAAGUAACUGAAAAUAACAACUGUCGAAACUAUUUUUUUAAAAACGGGAAUCGACUUUUUUGAAAACGAAAAUUAAAACGGGAGUCGCCACCGAUCUUUAUUAGGUGUGAUCAGACCAUCUUUGCUUUAAUAGAAUGUUUUAGUUUAUUAAAACAUUGUUUUUGGUCUACGAAACUCAAGAGAAUAAGUUCAGGAGUCGGUUACCUGCGAGGAAGGACUAGCACUCUCGACACGCCCAAAAAUUGGUACCGAAUUGAUUAAUUAGUGUCUUAAUGUUGAAAGUUGAAAAUCGAGAACGAAGUUAAAAUACGAUCCUUUUUAUUAACGUCGAUUUCAAAAAUGCUUGAAUUUAAUCAAGACGUUUGCUAAAGAUUUCCUUGUCUCGAGAUAUCGGAGUAUCACAUCCCGUAAGUUAGGACAAGAUACCAUGAACUCCUGAACGCAAGUUUUAAUUUAAAUUGGAAUUCCGUGUGUCUUAAAACUAAAAAGGAUGUUUGGCUAUUUAGAAUCAACGAGAAAAUUGAAACCCCGUAAGUUAGGGCACAAUUCUUCAAUGUUCCAAAACGCAAAACAUUGUCUUAUUUAGAAAAUUUGUUUUUAAACCAUAGCAAGUACAAUAUUUAAACGACGUGUAUUAUUUGUUUGGAUUAAAACGGUCCAUGUUUGGACAAAUACAUUUGAGGUCGAUGCGCGAUAUGAUUUAAAUGAAAUAAAAUAAAAGGGAGUGCUGAGCAUGUAAUAAUAAUACAAGAAUAACAUCACAAAUGUACAACAAAUAUAAAGAUGCGAGUGGACGAAUUAAGGUACACACAAUGACAAUAAGCACUAAACAUGCAUUAUUUAAAUAUUAACAUUAGUAAUCAAGGAACAAUAAAAAAUAAAUGAAUAAAUAACAUAUAUGACAAUCUAAAAAAGAAAUAAUAUAAGGCAAAUUAAAACGAAUAAAACAUAAAAACUAUUCAACAUGAUAAUAAUUAAGUUUUAAGAGUAAAUAAAGUGAAAAAUGAAUCUUUAAAAUAUAUAAAAUAACUUAAGAAAAGAUGAUACAUUUAUUUACAAAAAUUUUAGAUCAAAUGAUGCGUAUAUAUAUAUAAAAGUAUGAAAUAGGUAAUAAUAUGAGGAAGUAACUUAUAAUAAAUAAUAAAUAAAAUAUUUAAAAUAAAUAAUUUGAGUUCUAAAAGGGGACAUAAAACAAUUUAAAAUAAUAAAACAUUUUUAAAUAAAUAAUACACAAAACAAUUUUAAAAUGAAGGCAAUUUAAAGUAAAGAAUAUAAAACGAUUUAUAAUAAUUAACAUAUUUAAUAUUUUUGGCAUAAAAUAAAAUAAUAUAUAUAUAUAGCAAACUUCAAAUAAACAAUAUGUUAAAUGGAUCAAGAUGAAUAAUACACAAAAAAAAAUAAAGGAAACUUUAAAAUAACUUACAAAAGAGCUCAAAAUGAUUAGUGUGUAAAAAAGAAAUUUAAAAUAAAUAUUGUUCAAAAAUAAUUUAAAUAUAUAUAUAUGAAUCCAAAAUAAUAUACAUAAAAGGUUUAAAAUAAGUACCUAUAUAGUCUUAAAAAUGAUAAAAGGUUUACGAUACAUAAUAAGGGGAUUUAAAAUAGUUUUUUAUAGUGUAACUAAAUAAUAUAUAAAAAUUUAAAAUAGGGUUUAACUCAAAUGACAUACAAAAUAUUUAGAAAGAAUGAUGUGAAUAGAGACAUUUGAUGUAAGAUAAUACAUAGAAAAAUGUUUAAAAUAAUGCAACACCCUGAAUUUGGGCCUAAAAGUUUUGGGCCUUGAGUAUGGGAGCGGUUGAAGGCAGCUUAUAAUAUUCUGUUGUGCGUGAAAAUUUCGUAGUUGAAGGCUUGUUUUAGUGGUUAAGUGUGUUGAGAAGUGUUGGAGAAGUCUUGGGUUCAAACCUGGACUCUAGCAAAAAUUUUCGUUUAAGGUGAAUCAAACCCUGGGUAUAGUAGAUAGGCCUUAAGAAUAUUGUUGGAGAAAUUGUGACACAAAGCCUUGUGGCUUAGUGGCAAGUAGCGUGUGGAACAUUUAAGGGGAGGCAUGGGUUCGAAUCCCAUAGCAAGCAAAGGGCAUUUAUUUUGCUAACAGGGAACAGCAAGAGUUGGUGUUGAAUUUAAACUCUGAUGAUGGAGGGAUCCCACAUCGGGAAGCUAACAUAAGAGUGGAUACGAAGCUGGCUUUAAAUAGAGAGAACCAUGAGGAGAGUAAAGGUACCCUUCUUGGCUGAUCUCUUUCGCUUUGUGGCGUGCUCGGUUGGGUUGGGCACUGGCUAAGAGUGCUCGGAGCGUGGAUUAACUCCAGUCUCUAAUCAGGUGUGUAUUUCUCGCUACUCUAGCUGUAGGAUGGCUACUUCGGGCUGCGAUGGGCCGAAAGGGGCCAUGUGGGCCCAAUGGGCUUACGGGCCCAAUUGGAUAAGUUGCUUGAUUGUGUAGUAAAUAUUGGACUGGCUAGGUGAAUCUCAUAUCUGUGGCUAGAUUUGGGCUAAAAGGGCCACACGAGCGUGUGGGCCCAUUUGGGCCGAGAAUAGGCUUUAGGGCCAUUCGUAUUUUUAUCCCUGUUUAGAAUACUUUAGUUUACCAAAUUACCAAAAUACCAUUGGUUUGUAAAAUUACUAAAAUACCUUUUAUUUAUAAAAUUACCAAAAUACCCCUGGUUUGUAAAAUUACCAAAAUACCCUUGGUUUGUAAAAUUAUCAAAAUACCCCUAGUUUGUAAAAUUACCAAAAUACCCUUGAUUUGUAAAAUUACUGAAAUACUCCUGUAGGGUAGAAUUACUAAAAUACCCCUAUAGGGUAGAAUUACCGAAAUACCCCUGUAGGGUAGAAUUACUAAAAUACCCCUGUAGGGUGGAAUUACCGAGAUAUCUUGUGGGGUAAAAUUACCAUUUUGCCCCUAAGGUGUUAAAUGACUAUUUUGCCCUUGUGGCCAAGUGACUAAUUUGGACUGUGUGGUUGACGAAUUUGAUUGUGAAUAUAUGUUGGUAUAUGAAUAACUUGAUUGUGAUUGUAUGAUUCAAAUAUGGGCAUGACAUUCUACAUACAUGACAUGUUGCAUGGGUUGGGAUUUUGUACGGAGGAAGAUCUGAUCUGUUAGGAUCGCAUGGUUGCUUGACGACUGUGGAUCCACCGAAGGCUUAAGAGCCAUAUAUUCGUACUGAUUUGAUAAGGUCGCACGGGUUGCCCAAGACGACUGUGGACCGAUCAAUGGCUGAGAGCCGAUCAUAUUUACCCGAGGCUGUGUGCCGACUAUAUUACCGUCGCUGAUGGCUAUGUGCCUAACAUGAUACAGCUAUCGAUGGCUUAAAGCCUUCUGAUUAUGACUUUGUGUCAACCUACAUAUGGCUCUGUGCCAACCUGAUUAUGGCUGUGUGCCAAACGUAUUUGCCUAAGGCUAUGUGCCAAUAUAUGGUUAUUGACGACUCUGUGUCGAUCAUAUUUACCUAGGGUUGUGUGCUGGUUAUGUUACUCUAGUUGAUGGCUAUGUGCCUAACAUAAUGCAGUUAUCGAUGGCUUUGUGCCACGUAUUCUGUUAAGUGGCUUUGCCACAUUAUCUGUUUCUGGUGGCUAUGCCACAAAUAUCUGUUCUAGUGGCUCUGCCACAAUAUCUGUAUGUGGUGACUCUGUCACAAUAUCUGAUAACUGAGCAGCAAUGCUGCAACUGUGGAGUGUAGGGCUGGGUGGGUUGAGCUAUUCCCCACAUGGAGUGUAGGGCUGGUACGGGUGGAGUGUAGCAGUUGGUUAUAGGCUGGAUUGGGUUAGGAUGCAUUCACAUUCUGAUUUUUGAUUCUGUUACCUGAUACUGAUUCUGAUUUUGAUUCUAUUUCCUGAUACUGAUUCUGAUUCUGAUUCUGUCACCUAAUUCUAAUUCUGAUUCUGAUUCUAGUUCUGAUAAUGUUUCUUAUUCUGUAAUGGGUUAAAGCCCAUCUGGUACUGUCUAUUAAAAUGGGCUAAGGCUCAAUUGAUACUGAAACUGUAAGUAGGGUUGGGGCCAACUUUUUAAUUCUUUUAUAUGACUGACUGUUCCUUUUAUAUAGUAGGGGAUUUCACACUGAGUUUUCGUAAACUCACCUCGUGUAUUAACCUUUCAGGUAAUUUCCAGCCUUAGACGGAUCGGGGCUGCGAGGGGCUCGGAGGAAGCCACACACACUGUUUAUGUUAUAGUUUUGAUUAUUGCUUUUAAAUGUUUUUAUAUGGGUUGUAGUAAAGCCGUUGUAAUUUUCUAGAUUUCAAAUUUGGAAUUUUAUUUAUUGUUCUUAUAAUUUCUAGUAUUAGAACAUGAUUUUCCAAAGUAACUACUGUUGUUCAAAACAUCGCGUAACCGCAAUUGUUUUUAAAUCAAGCUUCCGCAAUUGCCAAGAUUUUUACAAAGUUGUUAAGAAUGUUAUUCAGUUGAGGUUUCUAACAAGGUUUAAAAAGGGUAUAAGUUUUGAAUUAUUAAGAAGGGUUUUUAAUGAAAAUAUGGUUUUCGAAAAACACUUCAAUGUGACAUGCCAGAUUCGAGCCAAACUUCUAGGCCGGGUUUGGGGUGUUACAUUUAGUGAUAUCAGAGCCUGGGUUGCAACAACUCGGCUGUGGAUUGGGUUUUCAAAGGUUGAAUUUCAGAAAAUUAUUUUCAACCACGUGGUCUGUUUGAAGUAUUUCUCUUAAAAAGUGUGGCACACCAAGUCUCCGGCACCGAAUCCGUAAGUCUUCUGAAUACUUUUGUCUGUUUAGAAAUUGAAAUACUGUGGAUACCUUAGAUAUUGGUCUGAAUUUAAAUUUGGUAUUUUUUUAUGUGGAUGUGAUGUUUGGAUAUAGAAAUUGUAUAUAUGUGUGAUAAAUAUGUGGCUGCUUUUGUGAAUAAGUGUUGUAUGUAUGAGAUGUUUCAAGUUCUAGUUGAAGUGUGAUAGUGAUAGUAGGAUCAUAGUGCGCAGCGGUAGCGUAGUGGGGUAGAUGUUACACAACUACCCUAUUAGACGGAAAUUUCGGGGACGAAAUUUCUUUAAGGGAGGUAGAGUUGUAACACCCUAAAUUUGGGCCUAGAAGUUUUGGGCCUUGAGUAUGGGAGCGGUUGAAUGCAGCUUAUAAUAUUCUGUUGUGCGUGAAAAUUUCGUAGUUGAACGCUUAUUUUAGUGGUUAAGUGUGCUGAGAAGUGUUGGAGAAGUCUUGGGUUCAAACCUGGACUCUAGCAAAAAUUUUCGUUUAAGGUGAAUCAAACCCUGGGUGUAGUAGGUAGGCCUUAAGAAUAUUGUCGGAGAAAUUGUGACACAAAAAGCCUUGUGGCUUAGUGGCGAGUAGCAUGUGAAGCAUUUAAGGAGAGGCAUGGGUUCGAAUCCCAUGGCAAGCAAAGAGCAUUUAUUUUGCUAACAGGGGGCAGCAAGAGUUGGUGUUGAAUUUAAACUCUGAUGAUGGAGGGAUCCCACAUCGGGAAGCUAACAUAAGAGUGGAUACGAAGCUAGCUUUAAAUAGAGAGAACCAUGAGGAGAGUAAAUGUACCCUUCUUGGCUGAUCCCUUUCGCUUUGUGGCGUGCUCGGUUGGGUUGGGCGCCGGUUAAGAGUGCUCGGAGCGUGGAUUAACUCCAGUCUCUAAUCAGGUGUGUAUUUCUCGCUACUCUAGCUGUAGGAUGGCUACUUCGGGCUGCGAUGGGCCGAAAGGGGCCAUGUGGGCCCAAUGGGCUUACGGGCCCAAUUGGAUAAGUUGUUUGAUUGUGUAGUAAAUAUUGGACUAGGCUAGGUGAAUCUCAUAUCUAUGGCUAGAUUUGGGCUAAAAGGGCCACACGAGCGUGUGGGCCUAUUUGGGCCGAGAAUAGGCUUUAGGGCCAUUCGUAUUUUUAUUCCUGUUUAGAAUACUUUAGUUUACCAAAUUACCAAAAUACCAUUGGUUUGUAAAAUUACUAAAAUACCCUUUAUUUAUAAAAUUACCAAAAUACCCCUGGUUUGUAAAAUUACCAAAAUACCCUUGGUUUGUAAAAUUAUCAAAAUACCUCUAGUUUGUAAAAUUACCAAAAUACCCCUAGUUUGUAAAAUUACCAAAAUACCCUUGAUUUGUAAAAUUACUGAAAUACCCCUGUAGGGUAGAAUUACUAAAAUACCCCUGUAGGGUAAAAUUACUAAAAUACCCCUGUAGGGUAGAAUUACCGAGAUACCUUGUGGGGUAAAAUUACCAGUUUGCCCCUAAGGUGUGAAAUGACUGUUUUGCCCUUGUGGCCAAGUGACUAACUUGGACUGUGUGGUUGACGAAUUUGAUUGUGAAUAUAUGUUGGUAUAUGAAUGACUUGACUGUGAUUGUUUGAUUCAAAUAUGGGCAUGACAUUCUGCAUACAUGACAUGUUGCAUGGGUUGGGAUUUUUUACGGAGGAAGAUCUGAUCUGUUAGGAUCGCAUGGUUGCUUGACGACUGUGGAUCCACCGAAGUCUUAAGAGCCAUAUAUUCGUACUGAUUUUAUAAGGUCGCAUGGGUCGCCCAAGACGACUAUGGACCAAUCAAUGGCUGAGUACCGGUCAUAUUUACCUGAGGCUGUGUGCCGACUAUAUUACCAUCGCUGAUGGCUAUGUGCCUAACAUGAUACAGCUACCGAUGGCUUAAAGCCUUCUGAUUAUGGCUUUGUGUCAACCUACAUAUGGCUCUGUGCCAACCUAAUUAUGGCUGUAUGCCAAACGUAUUUGCCUAAGGCUAUGUGCCAAUAUAUGGUUAUUGACGACUCUGUGUCGAUCACAUUUACCUAGGGUUAUGUGCCGGUUAUGUUACUCUAGUUGAUGGCUAUGUGCCUAACAUAAUGCAGUUAUCGAUGGCUUUGUGCCACGUAUUCUGUUAAGUGGCUUUGCCACAUUAUCUGUUUCUGGUGGCUAUGCCACAAAUAUCUAUUCUGGUGGCUCUGCCACAAUAUCUGUAUGUGGUGACUCUGUCACAAUAUCUGAUAACUGAGUAGCAAUGUUGCAACUGUGGAGUGUAGGGCUGGGUGGGUUGAGCUAUUCCCCACAUGGAGUGUAGGGCUGGUACGGGUGGAGUGUAGUGGUUGGUUAUAGGCUGGAUUGGGUUGGGAUGCAUUCACAUUCUGAUUUUUGAUUCUGUUACCUGAUACUGAUUUUGAUUUUGAUUCUGUUACCUGAUACUGAUUCUGAUUCUGUCACCUAAUUCUAAUUCUGAUUCUGAUUCUGAUUCUAGUUCUGAUAAUGUUUCUUAUUCUGUAAUGGGUUAAAGCUCAUCUGGUACUGUCUGUUAAAAUGGGCUAAGGCCCAAUUGAUACUGAAACUGUAAGUAGGGCUGGGGCCAACUUUUUAAUUCUUUUAUAUGACUCACUGUUCCUUUUAUAUAGUAGGGGAUUUCACACUGAGUUUUCGUAAACUCACCUCGUUUAUUAACUUUUCAGGUAAUUUCCAGCUUUAGACGGAUCGGGGUUGCGAGGGGCUCGGAGGAAGCCACACACACUGUUCAUGUUAUAGUUUUGAUUAUUGCUUUUAAAUGUUUUUAUGUGGGUUGUAGUAAAGCCGUUGUAAUUUUUUGGAUUUUAAAUUUGGAAUUUUAUUUAUUGUUCUUAUAAUUGCUAGUAUUAGAACACGAUUUUCCAAAGCAAAUACUGUUGUUCAAAACAUCACGUAACCGCAAUUGUUUUUAAAUCAAGUUCUGCAACUGCCAAGAUUUUUACAAAGUUGUUAAGAAUGUUAUUCAGUUGAGGUUUCUAACAAGGUUUAAAAAGGGUAUAAGUUUUUAAUUAUUAAGAAGGGUUUUUAAUGGAAACAUGGUUUUUGAAAAUCACUUCAAUGUGACAUGCCAGAUUCGAGCCAAACUUCCAGGCCGGGUUUGGGUUGUUACAUUGAAGUGUUUUUCGAAAACCAUGUUUUCAUUGAAAACCCUUCUUGAUGUUUAGAAACUUUUACUGUUUAGACUUGUAUAAAACCUUAGCCUUGUUUUCUUUUUUCCAAAACGUGAUUUAUUGUAAUAAUUAAAACAUUGUUAACAACCUUGUAAAAUUUUAUGGGUAACUUUGAAAACUUGUAAACCUUUGUAGUGGCAGAAACAUGUUAUUUUAAAAACAGUUAAGUAUCGAAAAAUCAAACCUUCUUCGUUAUGGCUUAAAGUGAAUGGAUACUACGCAUCAGGUAGGAUUCAAGAAAAGAGGAGGUGAGUCAAUUAGACUGCUUAAGUACCUAGCUCUUCCAUGAUCCAAUCCUAGACAUGCACACAUCCAUUGCCACACUUUAAGCUUAUUACUUGUCCACGAACAACAAAUUAAGUUUAAGUCCAUUUAAAAUAUUUAUUUCCUUUGAAAACAUUUCCUUUGAAAAUAAGUAACUUUUAUAAAAGCGCCCUAGAGCUAACCAAUUUAAUAACCCAAAAUAUUAAAAAUAAUAAAAAGAGAGGCCUUAUUACAACUUAAACCAGAAUAAAAAUAAUCAAAAUAAUAAAUGCGAAACUUAUUUUAAAGAAAACAGAAACUUAAUCUUCGUGGCCACUCUGAACCCUGCCCAGCUCCAAGUCUACCAACUAGGGCUCACUUGCAAGGAUGGAAGAGAAAAGGGGUGAGUUUGGAAAACUCAGUGUGUAAAGUAUCCCAACCAGAGCCCAAAUCAGUUCAAGCUUUAGUGGGCUUAAGUCCUAUUCAGAAAUCAGUGUUAACUGGGCCUUAGCCCAUAUCAAUAUUAAUCUGGGCCAUAGCCCCUUACAGUAUCAGAGUAUAUUGGGCCUAGCCCAUAUCAGUAUCAAUCUGGGCCGUAGCCCUAUUACAAGUCGAGAUAUACUGGGCCUUUUCCCAUAUUAACAUAGUUGGGCCUGCUUCAAUACAGUUGGCCCAUAAUAAAACAGUCUCAUAUGAUUAAUGCAUGAUAACCCCAUCCAACCCUGCACUUCCCUCCGUCCAUCCCUACACUUCCUGUACGGAAUAAAUCACCCACGCCAUCCCUACACUUACAGUGUUAGCACCGGUUGCGGCACUAACUAUAAUCCGCAGCAAAGCUGCUUAUAUCGAAAUAUGUGGCACAGCCACCAGAACGGGUUCUACCUCCAUAACAAAACCCAACCCCAUGCAACAGAUAUACAUGUCAUGGCAUAUAACAAACAAAAUCAGAAUAUCAUGCAUUUCAGUUAAAAUUAACCCUAGGGGUAUAGCAGUCAUUUUGCACCUAGGGGUAAAACGGUAAUUUUCAUACUUAAGGGUAUUCUAGUAAUUUAAAUAUUUUAGGGUUUACAUACAUAUUAUAACCAUUAACACAUUAACAGAAGCACUUACCGGACGUUUUUACCGAAUUGGGCCCGUUGGCCCACUAACCCGUUUUCGGCCCAUUAAGCCCAAAUAUACCGAAGUACACGAAAUUGCGCACUCUGCAAUCAUACUGCUUGCGAUUACCAAAAUUAACAACCAAACCACCUCACAAGUUCUCGCACGCUCGCAAGUUCACAAAUGUCAGCUUUUCGGCUUUUGCCGAUCUAGUCUAUGAGUGGGUGUCGUUUACACACCUAUUUUUCGAUGAAACGUUGACGAGUUCCACGCACGAGUUGCCUACAAUCAGUUACUAACAGGUUAAACUAUGAAUCCAUAACAACUUAACACAACAAACCCUUACCAUAUUUGGCCCUUAACACCUUAGGCACUAAAGUUCUUACCUUUGCCGGAAAAAUGGACUAGAUCUAAUUCUGGUCGUUCCAAAUAUCCAAGCCCUUGAUUAGUAGCCUUUAAUCCACACUAGAGCUAAACAAAUCAAAUAACACCACUAAACCUUUUUAGUUUAGUCGACAGGCACCCUUUGCAUAUAGGGGUUUUCGACUUUUCUUUAAAUCCCUAAAUAAAGAAUGGAAAUAAGAUUCCGAGUACUUACCACUAAUGAUGUACUUGUCAAAAGCGUUUCAAACACUUCCCCAAUCUCAGAUCCACAGUGAAUGCAAUCUU
rnacentral:lncRNA from 1 species